AACGAACGCUGGCGGCACGCCUAACACAUGCAAGUCGAACGCUUGUCAUGCAGCAAUGUGUGACGGGAGUGGCGGACGGGUGAGUAACGCGUGGGAACCUGCCCAGAGGUGCGGAACAACCCCGGGAAACCGGGGCUAAUGCCGCAUGAUGCCGAGAGGCUAAAGAUUUAUCGCCUUUGGAGGGGCCCGCGUCGGAUUAGGUAGUUGGUGGGGUAAUGGCCUACCAAGCCUGCGAUCCGUAGCUGGUCUGAGGGGAUGGCCAGCCACACUGGGACUGGGAAGCGGCCCAGACUCCUACGGGAGGCAGCAGUGGGGAAGCGUGGACAAUGGGGGCAACCCUGAUCAGGCGAUGCCGCGUGGGUGAUGAAGGCCUUCGGGUUGUAAAGCCCUUUCGCCGGGGACGAUAGUGACGGUAACCGGAGAAGAAGCCUCGGCUAACUCCGUGCCAGCAGCCGCGGUAAGAC
rnacentral:rRNA from 1 species